rnacentral:rRNA from 1 species
AUUGAACGCUGGCGGCAGGCCUAACACAUGCAAGUCGAACGAGUGGCGGACGGGUGAAUAAUGUCUGGGAAACUGCCUGAUGGAGCGGGAAAACUACUGGAACCGGUAGCUAAUACCGCAUACGAUCGUAUGGGCUCAGAUUGGAUUAGCUAGUGGGUGGGGUAAAGGCUCACCUAGGCGACGAUGCCUAGCUGGUCUGAGAGGAUGACCAGCCACACUGGAACGGAGACACGGCCCAGACUCCUACGGGAGGCAGCAGUGGGGAAUAUUGCACAAUGGACGCAAGCCUGACGCAGCCAUGCCGCGUGUGUGAAGAAGGCUUUCGGAUUGUAAAGCACUGUUAGCGGGGAAGCGGUACCCAAACAAGAAGCAACGGCUAACUCCGUGCCAGCAGCCGCGGUAAUUC